GUGCCAGCCGCCGCGGUAAUACGGAGGGUGCAAGCGUUGUCCGGAAUCACUGGGCGUAAAGGGUGCGCAGGCGGGGCAGCAAGUCGGAGGUGAAAGCCCAUGGCUCAACCAUGGAAGUGCCUUCGAGACUGUUGCUCUUGAGUCCCGGAGAGGCUGUCGGAAUUCGUGGUGUAGCGGUGAAAUGCGUAGAUAUCACGAGGAACACCAGAGGCGAAAGCGGACAGCUGGACGGGUACUGACGCUCAGGCACGAAAGCGUGGGGGGCAAACAGGAUGAGAAACCCCUGUAUCC
rnacentral:rRNA from 1 species